rnacentral:rRNA from 1 species
AUUGAACGCUGGCGGCAGGCCUAACACAUGCAAGUCGAACGAGUGGCGGACGGGUGAGUAAUGUCUGGGAAACUGCCUGAUGGAGGGGGAUAACUACUGGAAACGGUAGCUAAUACCGCAUACCAUCAGAUGUGCCCAGAUGGGAUGAGCUUGUGGGUGGGGUAACGGCUCACCAAGGCGACGCUCCCUAGCUGGUCUGAGAGGAGGAACAGCCACACGGGAACGGAGACACGGUCCAGACGCCGACGGGAGGCAGCAGUGGGGAAUAUUGCGCAAUGGGCGCAAGCCUGAUGCAGCCAGGCCGCGGGUAUGAAGAAGGCCUGCGGGUUGUAAAGUACUUUCAGCGGGGAGGCGGUACCCGCAGAAGAAGCGCCGGCUAACUCCGUGCCAGCAGCCGCGGUAAUAC